GGAGGGCAAGUCUGGUGCCAGCAGCCGCGGUAAUUCCAGCUCCAAUAGCGUAUAUUAAAGUUGUUGCAGUUAAAAAGCUCGUAGUUGAAUUUCGGGACUAAUAUGUCGGUCGUACUUUGUACGUACUAGCAUUAUUGGUUUCUCCCUUCUGACGAACCACGAUGUCAUUAAUUUGGUGUCAUGGGAAAUCAGGACUGUUACUUUGAAAAAAUUAGAGUGUUUAAAGCAAGCUCGCGCUUGAAUACAUUAGCAUGGAAUAAUGAAAUAGGACGUUUGAUUCUAUUUUGUUGGUUUCUAGGAUCGACGUAAUGAUUAAUAGGGAUAGUUGGGGGCAUUAGUAUUCAAUUGUCAGAGGUGAAAUUCUUGGAUUUAUUGAAGACUAACUACUGCGAAAGCAUUUGCCAAGGAUGUUUUCAUUAAUCAAGAACGAAAGUUAGGGGAUCGAAGACGAUCAGAUACCGUCGUAGUCUUAACCAUAAACUAUGCCGACUAGGGAUCGGAUGAU
rnacentral:rRNA from 1 species